rnacentral:rRNA from 1 species
UACGUAGGGUCCGAGCGUUGUCCGGAAUUAUUGGGCGUAAAGAGCUCGUAGGCGGUGUGUCGCGUCGGCCGUGAAAACCUGCAGCUUAACUGUGGGCUUGCGGUCGAUACGGGCAUCACUGGAGUUCGGCAGGGGAGACUGGAAUUCCUGGUGUAGCGGUGAAAUGCGCAGAUAUCAGGAGGAACACCGGUGGCGAAGGCGGGGUCUCUGGGCCGAUACUGACGCUGAGGAGCGAAAGCGUGGGGGAGCGAACAGG